rnacentral:rRNA from 1 species
GACGAACGCUGGCGGCGUGCUUAACACAUGCAAGUCGAACGGAAAGGCCCUGCUUUUGUGGGGUGCUCGAGUGGCGAACGGGUGAGUAACACGUGAGUAACCUGCCCUUGACUUUGGGAUAACUUCAGGAAACUGGGGCUAAUACCGGAUAGGAGCUCCUGCUGCAUGGUGGGGGUUGGAAAGUUUCGGCGGUUGGGGAUGGACUCGCGGCUUAUCAGCUUGUUGGUGGGGUAGUGGCUUACCAAGGCUUUGACGGGUAGCCGGCCUGAGAGGGUGACCGGCCACAUUGGGACUGAGAUACGGCCCAGACUCCUACGGGAGGCAGCAGUGGAGAAUAUUGCACAAUGGGCAGAAGCCUGAUGCAGCAACGCCGCGUGCGGGAUGACGGCCUUCGAGUUGUAAACCGCUUUCGCCUGUGACGAAGCGUGAGUGACGGUAAUGGGUAAAGAAGCACCGGCUAACUACGUG